UCGAUUCUCACCUGAGCUCGUGGAGGAGAUAGUCCGCCGUCGAUUAGAUGGACAAAAGCUCCGGCGUCGCCGUCGUUGGAAAAAUCACCUCGGAGGCGGAGUAAAAUGAGAAAGAAGACAAAAUGAAAAACAGAUCGCGAAACCCUUGUUUCGCUUCCGUCUACAAUAAAAAACACCUCCAAUGACCUCUUCCCACGUGGCGUGAACCCGUCUCAUACGGUAUCAUUCGGACGACCCGGUUCACCAAAUAUCGGGCUUUUUAUAAUUUUAAAAAUACGAAAGGCCCUUAGAUCCCGAGCCCAUGAACCCCUCAUGACCCGCCAAUGCAGAUGCCCUCUGCUUCCACUACGGCGAGUGAAACAGUCCACCGCAGCUCGCGUGUUCCGAGGGAAAAAGAGUUGUUGGGUUUUGACGGAAACAGUUUCCAGCGAACGAUCGGAAGGGAAAGUUCGUAGCUUUCGCAGGCGAAGUCACGAAGCCUUCUCCGCCGCCAAAGGGUCUAUUCAGAGCUACCUCUGAAUCUGAUGAAGCCAACGAUAUUCAGAAGAUAGAUUGUGAAGCUAAAAGAAGCAUUAACCUAUAUAGAGGACAUAAUUAUUAAGAAGAAAGAGAAGAGAUGCAGCACCAGAUUGAUAUUGCUAAGUCAGAAUUUAAAAAAAAAAGAGAGAGAGAAGAAGAAUCUAUAAACAUUUAUAUGCUAAGUGACAUUUCUUUGAAGCAUAAGACGUCUAGGCCAUGAAGACUAAAAGUGGAUAUGAAGGAGAAGCAGCUCCAUGAGCUUGAGGAUAAGCUUGUUGUGACUUGUGACCGAGGCAGGAGCAGGCAUAUACGCCUUCACGAUAACUAGUCUCCUAGGUCUGUGGGGAUACCAUGUUUAAGUCACGUUACAGUUACAAUGUUCGAAGCACCUUGAUGAUCAGAAGAAGGCUGUUGUAGAUUCCAGAAUGCAGGAGGUUGAAAUGGAGCUUGAACAGAGGUGAAACUUAUAUACGUAUGAAAUUCGUUUCAGUGUAGGAACGGAAGAAGGUAAAGCACAAGCAUCAACAGGUUCCAUGGAAAAAUAAGCUGAGAGUGUCAAUGCCGAUAUCAGAAUAGUGCCAAGUCCCAAGGAUAAUUAUACUCCACCGCUAUGUGACAAUAACAGGGAAAGUGGAAAUGCUGUAAGGCAGUAACACAUGAGAAGAUUGUUAAGGUACGACUCCUUGAAACAUCAAAUUAGAUCAUUCCAAUUUUUUUUUGCCAGCAUGUGCAGAUGUUUUUUCUCUGUAUAAUAUGUGGGCAUGUUAAUCAUAGAAUUUAUUCAAUUCUGAUUUCUGAGUAAUGGUUUUUAUACAGAUUGAAGCAGAGACUGAGUUCAAGGAUACAAGUAUGGGAAAGAGGCCAGUCAAAGUCUCAAAGAUCCACCGUUAGAAGCAGGAGGCAGCGGUGAAGAGGAUGAUCGAACUUUCACUCUUUCAGCAUGAUCAAAGAAGCUUUGGGUCUUUUUCACAACCUAAUCAUUUUCUCCCUUUCUCUUUCUCUGAAAGACAAAACUAUCCCAUAAGUAGGAGUUUCCUGAGAGAAAAAAACAUCCUGUUAUGUGUUGUUUACUUUAUUUAUAAAACUUUACUUUCUUUUUCAA